rnacentral:rRNA from 1 species
GUCAACGGCCAUGCCACUCUGAACAUGCCCUAUCUCGUCGGAUCUCGAAAGCUAAGGAGGGUCAGGCCUGGUUAGUACUUGGAUGGGAGACCACCUAGGAAUAUCAGGUUCUGUAGGCA